UGUCGAUCUCGUCGCUGUACCUCCCUCGCUGCUUCCACCUCUUCCCAUGGGAGGCAAUCCCUUCCGGCCUGGAUCUACUCCCACGUCCAGGAUCCUUUGCCAUCCAGGAUGUCCUCCCAUGUCCAGUUCAUCGGCCCACACUGCUUGGUCCUUUGGUGGUGGGCUCUUCUGUCACGAUCGUCAAAAGGAGUAGACCAAGGUGCAGCGUGCAUUGAUGUUUUUCUGUAGCACCCGGGAUGAAUGUGACUGACUCGGGAAGUCCAUACAAAGGAUCCGGGUCAGGGAAGUCAAACAUUUCUGGUGACACAGACACCAAUCCCUGCCGUGACAGAAGGAGCAGCAUUUCUUGCUGCCACAAAUCAAAGUGAAGAAGGGAAGAGAAACAAUAAGCAACAAUAAGCCCACUGGUUUGAGCUGAUGGAGCUGUUUAGAUAAAGACAGACAACAGCAGCCUGUAAAGAGACCC
rnacentral:lncRNA from 1 species